rnacentral:rRNA from 1 species
UACGGGGGGAGCAAGCGUUGUUCGGAUUUACUGGGCGUAAAGGGCGCGUAGGCGGCCACCGCAAGUCGGUUGUGAAAUCUCCGGGCUUAACCCGGAAAGGUCAAUCGAUACUGCGGGGCUAGAGUGCAGAAGGGGCAACUGGAAUUCUCGGUGUAGCGGUGAAAUGCGUAGAUAUCGAGAGGAACACCUGCGGCGAAGGCGGGUUGCUGGGCUGACACUGACGCUGAGACGCGAAAGCUAGGGGAGCAAACGGG